UUUAGUCGGUCAUAUAUGGCUUCGUAUGCAAUUAGAAAAAAUACAGUUAUGCUUCGUGAAAUUCUUUAUAACAAUUGCGUUUAUCAUUAUAACAUAAAAACACAUUACAUUUUUCACAUAAUGUGAAGGAACGAAACUUGGAACAAUAUUGGCAUAGUUGACGGCUGUUCUUCUUCCAAAUUGGGUAAUGGCUAAUCCCAUCAGACCGUAUAGAAUCCAAGGGAAUAUCCUGAUGUCUGGCAGGAAUUCUUCGUGGUUUUUUCACGGGUGCUGGCGAGUCAGGUAAAGUGAAGGGAGUGCCGCCCCGGCUGGAUGUUGGUGUUCCCAAGUAGCUUGAGGGACGGCCACGUUUUUUGGUAAUAAGAGCUUUCCCUGACUUUCGCAUAUGCUCUGAAACGGCUAAUUUGAAAUAAUACAGAGGCAUGUAGGAUGAGUCUGUAUUGAUUCGGCGCCAUAACAGCCAAGCAUUUACAAGGGACAUGUCCACCAUGUGAAAAAAAAUCCUUUUGUACCACUGACGAGACCGCAAAUGGAUUCUAUAAUAACCUAGCAUGGAAUCAAGUAAAUCAACUCCUCCCAUAUGUUGGUUGUAGACAUCGACAGCUUGGGGAGAAGGUAUGUCAACAUACUUUUUUUCAUGCCGAACAUAACGCCGUUUUGUUGUAGUUGGCUCGCUUCCAACGUAGGCAGACAGAAGAUUCACGUUCUUGUUAUCAAACCAGGAAACCAGACUUAACUUUACUUUAUUUAUGACUGCUACCUUUUCUGCCAUGCUGCCACGACCUUGCUUCUUCAGUUCCUUUUCUGUAGGCAUAUUUGAGUUCGGCACACGAUUGAGUCUCACAGUUCCUAAGGGAAGUAAACCGUUUUGGUAAAGAUAUACUUGAAGAUUUGGGCUAUUAAACCAAUUAUCAAAACAAAUCUUGUAGUUCUGAUGUCGUGGAACUGUGGAUGUCAACCGAGUUACCACAUUUGAGCUAACGCCAAGAUCUGGCGCAUCUGAAGGGUAUGAAUUGCUCUGGUCUCCAGCAAAGAUGUCGAAGUCAUAGCUAAAGCCGCUAACGCCGCUCAGGACUUGGUUUUUGUAGCCCCAUUUGUGUGGUUUAGCUGGGUUAUACUGUUUUAAUUCAUGACGACAUUUGGUAGGGAUUAUUUGUUCGUCAACGGCUAAAAACUCUUCUUUAGGGACUAACAACAAACGCGCACGAAUCAUAUCCAAUAAGGGCCGAAUUUUAAACAAUUUAUCAUGGCCAUCUUCACCACGAGGUACAAAUGUCUCAUUAUUAUUAAAAUGUAAAAAUAUUUUGAUAGAUUCGAAUCUGUUACACGUCAUUAUUUCAUAAACCUGCAACUGACCUACUUCUUUUGACCAAUACCUCCUCGUUGCCGGUAACUUCACACAGGACAUAAAGAUGAUGAUACCUAUAAAUUUUUCUAUUUCUUCUUUUGUGAUCAUUGCUGGUUUGUUAAUAUUAUCUUGAAUAGACUUAAGGUUAGACUGCUCAGUUAUAAAAUUAAUCAUAUCAGCUGUAAACAAGAACUCGAAAACGUCUGCAGGGGAAUUCAGUUGUUUUAUCGUAUCCGGUAAAUCUGUGUCACCCCUAAAUUUAAAAUUGUUGACAUCGUAAGCUGGCAUUUUCCCUUUUUUCCAAACUACCCUUUUAUUUUUUGCAGCUUUUAUUUUGGAUUUGGAAGUAGUUGCAGAUUGUAAACUAUUCAACGGCACGUCAUCUUCUUCAGAAAAAUCAGAUUCAGACUCGGUUUGAUUUCUGAUAUAAAGAAAAAGAAACAAAGAAAAAGGUACUGGGUUAAUCCUUAUUUGCAAACUCGAGAUGAGACUAAAGGUCAUAGCUCAUUAGAGCCACCCGGCACCCAUUCCGCACCGCCUCGUCGCACGGCGUCCACUCGUUGUCGACAGGUGGUCCAAGGGUGGACACCGUGUUAUCACCAAUAAACGUCGUGCGGUCAACCAUUGGACCUCGCAUCGUCACCCAGUGGACCCCGCGCUGGCCGCUGGUGGACCCCGCGUGGUCUACGACUGGAGACCGGUUAGUCCACGAAUUUUCGCUUAGUCUGUUAACAAUUGGCACUACGUCUACACGUGUGCUUCAUAAUGUUAAAUUUUACAAACCGUGAAUUGGCACUCAUAGCUGUAGCGCUUGAUGCAGAAGAAUUAAAGACCCAAGAGAAAAAGGAAAGCUUAUUGGGUGCACGAAAUGUUUAAACAAAGAAAAAGAGAGGGUGAAUAUUGGACAGCUCGUAGGCAUUUGCUAGCCGACGAGAAAAAAUUUUAUUCCUACUAUCAUAUGCCGCAAUGUGUGUUUUAUAACAUACUGUCUCGUAUUGAACACUCCAUAUCUAAGCAAAAUACAAGAUACAGAGAAGCGAUCACACCCGAAGAGAAAUUGGCUGUGACUUUAAAGUUUGACAUGCUGACCAUACUUAGUGAACAAUAGCGACGCGGAAACAAUAAGGACAAGUUACCCGAGCGAAGGCUCAGAGCGCUUGUAGACGUCCGUUUUUUUCACCGGAUUACGGACCGUCAAUAAACGGCUAUCCUUGUAUACAUAUUAUUUUUUUUACCGGAUGAAUGUUAUUUCCUUGGAGUGCCGUCUAUAUGCGUUAGUUUUGAACUGGUAGUCAGAGAUUACACACGUGUGAAAUGUCGAAUAAUAAGAAAAAAAAUCUCGUAUUGGCCUACUAUUUGUAUAAGAAGAAACUAAAAGAAAUAAAAAAAAGUAAAAGGUCAUCGUGGGUGCAUCCUAUAUUAUUGGAAAGGGAAGAAUAUGGUGCAUUUCAUACUCUUUUUAGGCAGUUGGAAGAAGAUGAAACUAAAUUUUACAAUUAUUUUCGGAUGAAGAAAGAAACCUUUCAGCUAUUACUAACAGUCAUAUAUGAUAAAAUAAGUCACGAGGACACUGACAUGCGUAAAUCUAUUACUCCGGCGGAGAGAUUAGCCGUUACGCUAAGAUAUUUAGCUUCAGGGAACACAUUUAGUGAUCUACAUUACAGUUUCAGAAUGGAUAUAAAAACUAUCAGCUGUAUUGUACAAGAAGUAUGUGAAGCAUUGUGGGAAACCCAUUCCCCAAUUUAUAUGAAACUACCAUCGGAAGACGAAUGGUUAACAAUAGCAAAAAAUUUCGAGACGAAUGCAAAUUUUCCUCAUUGCUUGGGAGCCAUUGACGGCAAACAUAUUCGAAUCAUCAAGCCAGAAGAAAGUGGAUCAAUGUUUUUCAAUUACAAGCACUAUUUCUCAAUAGUAUUAAUGGCUGUGGUAGACACAAAUUAUAAUUUUGUUUUUAUUGAUGUUGGAGCCUACGGCAAAGAAUGCGAUUCAGCGGUAUUUAAAGAAACAGAAUUUUGGAAAAGAAUAGUAGACGAUAAAUUAAAUAUUCCUCCACCUAAGCAGUUGCCAGGUGAAGAAAGUGAGUUACCUUAUGUAUUUGUUGCUGAUGAAGCUUUCGCUUUACAUCAACACGUACUUCGUCCUUAUGGUGGGCAUCAACUUGACGCAAUAAAAAAGUUUUCAAUUAUCGUCUCACGAGAUUAUUUCAUGAAGUAAGGGGCGGUAAGCUGGCAGGAUAAUUACAUUUAAACAAGCUUAUAUAUUUAAAACAUGAACA